rnacentral:rRNA from 1 species
CUACGGGGCGCUGCAGUAGGGAAUAUUGCACAAUGGAGGAAACUCUGAUGCAGCAACGCCGCGUGGAGGAUGACACAUUUCGGUGCGUAAACUCCUUUUAACAGAGAAGAUAAUGACGGUAUCUGUUGAAUAAGCGCCGGCUAACUCCGUGCCAGCAGCCGCGGUAAUACGGGGGGCGCAAGCGUUAUUCGGAAUCACUGGGCGUAAAGGGUGCGUAGGCGUCCUGAUAAGUAUUCUGUGAAAUCCCACGGCUUAACCGUGGAACUGCAGAGUAAACUGUCAGGAUAGAGUAUGGAAGAGGUAGAUGGAAUUUCCGGUGUAGGGGUAAAAUCCGUAGAGAUCGGAAGGAAUACCAAUGGCGAAGGCAAUCUACUGGGACAUUACUGACGCUGAGGCACGAAAGCGUGGGGAGCAAACAGGAUUAGAUACCCCGGUAGUC